AGAACGAACGCUGGCGGCAGGCCUCAAACAUGCAAGUCUAGCGGGCGUAGCAAUACGUCAGCGGCGGACGGGUGCGUAACACGUGGGAAUAUACCUAUCGGUUCGGAACAACGUAGGGAAACUUGCGCUAAUACCGGAUACGCCCGAAAGGGGAAAGAUUUAUCGCCGAUAGAUUAGCCCGCGUAGGAUUAGCUAGUUGGUAGGGUAACGGCCUACCAAGGCAACGAUCCUUAGCUGUUCUGAGAGGAAGAUCAGCCACACUGGGACUGAGACACGGCCCAGACUCCUACGGGAGGCAGCAGUUGGGAAUCUUGGACAAUGGGGGAAACCCUGAUCCAGCCAUGCCGCGUGAGUGAUGAAGGCCUUAGGGUUGUAAAGCUCUUUUACCCGGGAAGAUAAUGACUGUACCGGGAGAAUAAGCUCCGGCUAACUUCGUGCCAGCAGCCGCGGUAAUACGAAGGGGGCUAGCGUUGUUCGGAAUUACUGGGCGUAAAGCGCGCGCAGGCGGCCAGACAAGUCAGUGGUGAAAGCCCAGAGCUCAACUCUGGAACUGCCAUUGAAACUUUUUGGCUAGAGGACGGGAGAGGUGAGUGGAAUUCCCAAUGUAGAGGUGAAAUUCGUAGAUAUUGGGAAGAACACCGGUGGCGAAGGCGGCUCACUGGCCCGUUUCUGACGCUCAGGCGCGACAGCGUGGGGAUCAAACAGGAUUAGAUACCCCUGGUAGUCCACGCCGUAAACUAUGAACGCUAGCCGUUGGAUAGCUUGCUAUUCAGUGGCGCAGCUAACGCAUUAAGCGUUCCGCCUGGGGGAGUACGGCCCGCAAGGUUGAA
rnacentral:rRNA from 1 species